rnacentral:hammerhead_ribozyme from 1 species
UUUUAGCCGACGAGUCUCAAAUAGAACGAGAUGCGCAUCCUGGAU